UUAUCAAAAUUUUAAUUUACAAAGUAAUCUUAUUUUUUAUAAUUCAACACCCUAGUGAAAAGAGAAAUAAUUAAUUUUGUCCAACUCAGCACCACAGUGGAAGAAUAAAUCAGGUUGGUGGAAUUUUUAUUUAGUUGUUUUUGUUGGAAUAAUAAUUCAAAUUUAAUUAAAAUAUAGUUAGAGAUAAGUUUAAGUCUUUUACUUGACUAUGGCUAGGAUUUGUAAUUAUCCAAAGUAAAAGUCGAAUUUAUCAUCUGGUAUAACUUGAUAGCUAUAUAUAUUUAGGCAUGGGUUAAUUUUAGAUGAAUAAGCCACUGUGGAUAUGGCUGCAUGGGUGUUACCCAAAAUAUAAUUAAAUACUUUUUAUUAAUAAAGUAUUUGUUUAGUUAUUUUCUUACUCUUUCAAUAUCUUUUCUCCAUAUUAUUUUGUUCGAUUUUAGAUCUUAGGUUAUAUUAUUGGUAUCAGAGCAAAUCACGUUUUCAACAAUUAUGAUCAAAAUGUCUCAAAAAUAAUUAUUUUAACGGUUGAUAUGGCAUAUUUUUAGGUUCAACGGUGUAAGACAAUCCAAAUAAUAUGAUCAAUACUUCUGAUUUAAAAUUUGAAUGUUUUAUCACUAUUUUUUAUGAGAUUUUUAUUUUUAACCAUUUAUUUUAAGGCUACUCGUUUACUAGGCAAAUAAAGUCAAAAAAUUAUGAAAUUUGAUUUUUAUAUAGUUACAACAGCGUAGAUCAUGUUUAGGGUAUGUUUGUUUCACCGAAACUUGACUUUGGUUGAAGUGGACUUUGGGUUGAGGUGGAGUUCGAUGAAAACUAUUUUUUUUUAGCUGUUUGUUUCGUAGUUAUGAAAGUGGAGUUUCAAUAGUUCUGCUGUUUGUUUGGUAGAAAAUGUAUGAUGUAAAACUAUAAUUUAUGUAUAAAUAAUAAAUAAUUUAAUAAAUAAAAAUAAUAUAAUUAUAUUUAAUAUAAUUAAAAUUUAAUUUAAAACAAUUAAAUUAUUUUUUUUUAUACCUAAAUUAUAAUAAUACAACAAUAAAACUAUGAAGUAAAAAAAAUUAAUACUUGAUUAAUCAAUUUUUAUCAUAUUUUAGAUAUGUCAACCGAAUAAAAAAAUAAUUAAUACCAUAAUUAAAUAUAAUUAUCUUUAUUUAGUAUAUUAUUUUAUUAUUUUUUCUUCUCCCUCCUUCACCGUAAUUGACUUUGGCCCACGAUAGGCCGAAGUCAAUUACGCCAUAUCGGGGUAACUCGAGUUUCAGCCGUAACUAUUUUACGGCGAACCAAACAGCAGAAGUGAUAGAUUACGGCGUAAACGACUUCCCUCCUCUCCACUUUCCCUCACUUCCACCCAAACAAACACACAACGAAACUGAUUACUGAAUCGAAUGUUCUAUUAUCGAAAACAACUUACAAGCAAAAGUACAGGAGAGCCUAGUUCAUAAUUGUAUUGUCGGUUUGUAGAUUUUUUGUGAAUUUUAAAAUUAUAUAUUUGUUAUUAGAAAUUUUGUAUGGUUAUUAAAAUUAAGUGAGAAAAAUAUAAGAAGAAACUGUAGAAUCAUUUUCUUUUUAAUUUUUUUUUAAGUUUUAUUAAACAGUAAAUUAUUCAUCGUUUUUUAACUGAGUUGGAUAAAAUAGAAUUAUUUAGCCAAAUUAUGUUAAAUAUUUCCUAUGCCUCUUCCUCAUAGGAAACCCAUGUUUUGUUUGAUCAUUGUUGAGCGAGGGUGGUGACCGUACUUUUUGGCCCAAUGAUUUCACUCGGCUUCUAGUAAAAGCCACUCUGGCAUUUGCCUCUCAAACUCUCGUGACCGUGGUGCAUUUAACACCGGUUGGUUUUUUAGGCUUAAUUUUGUAGUGAGAUCCAUCUAAUGUUAUUAAAUAAAAUAAAGUUGAGAUAAAAAUAUAUAAAGAUAUAUUUUUGCGUUAUCGUAACUGACUCAUCGCGAUAUACGAAACACAACACGUACGUAACGUAAUUCUCAAACGAAGUCUGUUUAGUUUGAUGCCUAUCUAACGCUAUUAGAUAAAAUAGAGUUAGGAUAAAAGUAUAUGGAAAUAUACUUUUGCGUUUCUCCGGUGGGACCGGAGAAAAUAUAUCGUAACUGACUAAUCGCGAAUGUAAUAUUACGUAUGAAACCAAUAGUGUAUUUUUCUAUCGUAUUUUUUCACCACAUGUAAAACAAUCUUCCGCAAUCCAAAACGAAACCAAACGAAACCAAAGAUGAUGUGAGAAAAAAAGUUUUUCAAGAAAAUAUUUU
rnacentral:lncRNA from 1 species